rnacentral:lncRNA from 1 species
AUUUACUGCCUCCUUGACAUCAUUCUUUAGAAAGAAUUCUUUGACUCUAACUUUUGUUUGCUACCUCAGAAUGUUCUGCCUAUGCAAAGAACAGUUUCAAAUCAACCUGGAUUCGAGAGCUCAUGAAACUGAUCCUCAGCCUUCAUUUUCAGCCUUUUCCUCAAUCCUCCCCUGCACAGCCAGCUGGCUCAGCACUCUCCCCAGCAGGCCAUGCGCUCAAGUGCUUUACCUUCAACAUUUUCCCACUGAAGACCCAGCCUUCUCCUCUAGCCAAAUUAUGGUAUGCUACGUAAAAUUCCUUAGAAUUCUAUUUUAAGUGAAUUUCACGUAAGUAAAGCCCAUUGUUAAUGUCAUUGGAAAGGUUAUUUUUAAAUGAAGAGGUGUGCCAUACCCUGCCAAAUGUGAUAAUGUGUAUAGUAGCACCUAGCACAGUGCCUGGUGCAUUCUGGAUAGACAGUAAAUAUGACCUGAAUGAAUGAAAGAAUGGGCCUCACUGUCUGAUGGGAUGAGGCUCCCUGAGAAGGAGUGGGGAGUGGUGGCCUCUUUGAGGAUGACCAGCAGGCUGUUAAGCAGAAGGCUCCUUCUAGAAUUGUACUUUCCUGAGUACCUAGGACCAGCUUGGGGCCCCUCAGGCAUCUGAAUUUUUGGACCACUUUGGUUUAUAUAACCCACUUCUUAUCCAGGUUCUGUCUCUUGACAGUUUUUGUUGUUGUUGUUGUUGUUUGUUUGUUUUCUAGGUCUCACUAUGUUGCCCAGGCUGGUCUUGAACUCCUGGGCUCAAGCAGUCCUUCUGCCUCGGCCUCCAGAGUAGCUGGGACCACAGGUGCACCACACCCGACUUUGGCAGUUUUUUAACAUCUCCCAAGUCUUUAUUUUCUUGGUAAAAUGGUUUAAUAAUUGGUAUAUAUACUCAUAACUAGUACACAGACUAACACAGUGUGCAUGUAUACCACCAUCAGUGUCAUCUGCACCUUUUGUCUCACUGACUCAUGGUAAGACACGGAGCGCUCCACGAGGGGACGCCAUGUGUGGAGAUGCUGGAGUCUAAGGGUAUUGUGAUUGGGCAAUGGUAAGAAC